rnacentral:rRNA from 1 species
UACGUAGGGUGCAAGCGUUAAUCGGAAUGACUGGGCGUAAAGCGUGCGCAGGCGGUUCUAUAAGACAGAUGGGAAAUCCCCGGGCUCAACCUGGGAACUGCAUUUGUGACUGUAGAGCUGGAGUGCGGCAGAGGGGGAUGGAAUUCCGCGUGUAGCAGUGAAAUGCGUAGAUAUGCGGAGGAACACCGAUGGCGAAGGCAAUCCCCUGGGCCUGCACUGACGCUCAUGCACGAAAGCGUGGGGAGCAAACAGG